rnacentral:misc_RNA from 1 species
AACAAGGCGUACCUGCGGACCUGCGGAAGGAUCAUUACAGAGUUCAUGCCCUCACGGGUAGAUCUCCCACCCUUGAAUACUAUACCUUUGUUGCUUUGGCGGGCCGCUUUGGCUACUGGCUCUGGCUAGUAAGUGCCCGCCAAAGAACCCCAAAACUCUGAAUAUUAGUGUCGUCUGAGUACUAUAUAAUAGUUAAAACUUUCAACAACGGAUCU